AUCAUUUAAGCUAAAAUAGUAUUAAAUUUAGGAUUUAAAGAGGAGUAAGAUACUCAGAUGAUU
rnacentral:tRNA from 1 species